rnacentral:lncRNA from 1 species
GCCGCCAAACAACCAUCGCCCCACCGGAUCUUGGGGCGGCCGGUGUUUUCCCCUACUGGUGCGCCACUUCCUCCUCUCCUAGUAGCUAGUCCCUGCGAGAUCCAUGAUGGCUACAGCCCCCAAGUCGUUGUGUUGGUCCCCCAUCCUAAUGACCACGACCUUCACAUUCCCUCUUCACUCUCUGUGCCUGCACCUUGAUGGCCAGUGAGCAGCUCCAUUAGCUCCGCCGUGGGUCGUUGACCAUGCCGUCGUAAGCAGUUAAGCACCAUGGUGAGGCGCUGUGCUGCAGUUCAUUUGCCGCUGGAGUUCACUAUUUAGUUUGCUUAUUUUUCCUGAGUCGCCCGCCAACAGUCAAAAGAACUCAAAGUGCACUGUAGUCUGCUGUUGUUCAGUUUUGUUAUUUUUGCGAAAACAAAAAAGGACCAACAAAAGAAAAUAGGAAAGCUAGUGCACUGCAUGCCCGGAUGAGACUAAAAGGAACAUAAAUGCAGUUUGUGCAUCAUCUUCCCCAAAAACUGAUUUUGUGCAGUUCUCUAUUUUUUAUUUUGGCUAUGUUCAAGUACAGUGUGCUUCUUUUUUUAGUGCAGUCCCAACUUCAUGAAGAUGGCAUUCGUGUGUCCUACAGUUCCUACAUGCUGGUGGAGCGAUGCAUUGGGCUGGAUGCAUGAGAGGUGUGUGAUGGCUUGCCACUUGUUCCCUUGUGCUCUAUCUCUAUUCUUGGUCUGUUGCGGUGUGUGAAGUGUCGGUGUUGUUUCUUCAGAUAAGUGGCAUGGAAGAAGCACAGGAGAUCCUGUUGCACGGUUCAAAGACUACCAUGACGGCACAUCAGUGGCAUGGAAGAGGUCAUCGAGCCUAGCACAGCCACAGCGAUGGCUGCUUCCGCUGGUCAAUUUCUUAUGUUCUUCCCAUUCAUGGCCUAGCUUGCCCAAAUUUUCUUCUGAAUAUUUUCUUGUUGCUAUUCUGUGUAGCAGUAGUGGUGGUGAUUACUCCCUAGUUGCUAGUCAGUUCUCCACAUCGAGCCUAGAGUCGCCAUCCUGAAUAUUUUUCUUCUGAAUUGCAGUUCUCCCCACUUCUUGACGGGGUUCCGUUGCCAUGGUGCUGCAGUGCGCCUGGAUUUUUUUAAGUUUCACUUUGUUCUUGGAUAUGUGAGAAAAAAAUGUAAAAAAUUGUAAAAUAGAUGCAGUUUGUGUGUAUUGUGAAGUCCUUUGUUUGUAUUUGAGAAGUUCGUUCAGCUGUGUAAUGCCGUUCUUUUUGUUGCCGAUUGGUCCAGUUCUUUUUUGUUUUCCAAAUUCCCAGGGAUGAGAAAUUGAACCUAAUGUCAGCGAGACAACAAUCCGCAAGUAUCAUGCGCAUGCAGUUCCUUUUGUAUAUGCUUGCAAUGCGGUGUGUGUAUGUGUGCAGUACACCCCCAUCGGUCUUUUUGUGUGGCAGCUCAAUACCCCUUUGUAUGAAGUGCGUCGUCUGUCUUAAAAUUCAGUUGACUACAUUAACAUUUGCAAUGCGUUUGGUCCUCGGGAUGUGGUUCACUUUUGAGAGUGAUGAUGUUCACUUGCCCCCAACAUGAAAAUGGAAAAAAAAUUACAAGAUGGUAAUGUGGUUCACUUUGAUAUAUGACGCGGCUCACUUCCCCUUGUCUUUGCGGUCCACUCUCGUUCAUAAAAGAAAGUUGAAAAAAAGACAACAAAAACAAAAACUCGUAUGGGAAAAUUUACAUCUCACAAAAAAAAUCAUGCAGUGCACUUGUCUCUUGUGAUGAAGUGCGGUAUUUCGUCUGAAGCAGUGCGUUCUUCUUUCCUCGUCCGACAAAAAAUACGUUUAAACAAAAAGAAACCAUGCAGUGCACUUGCCCAUCUGAUGCAGUGCGGUAUUUUGUCUGAAGCAAUGCGUUUGUCUGAAGCAAUGCGUUCUUCUGUCCGAUGCAGUACAUACGACGAUUUUGGUCUCGCGCAGAACAGAGUGUCCGCUUUUCGGUAAAAUCGAAACUGCUCUUAAACCGUAAGGAAUUAGAGAGAGUGUUCUACAUCAAAAAGUUGCGUCUCGUCGAUAUCUUUCCAACGGCGUAUGAUUUGAAUCAUUUUGUCCAGCCGUUCGAAUUUUUUUUGCGAAAAAACAGCCGCUGCCUCUCGACGUCAGCCGCACGAUUUUCAAAAUUAACUAAAAACUGUAAGGAAUCUCAAAAACAUUUCAACAUACGACAGUUGCACCUUAUCCAUAGCUUUCCAACGGCGUAUCAUAUGUCUCGGUUCGACAAACGAUUAGAAAACUGGAGCGAAAAUAGUACCGAAAAUUUCAAUUUUUUUAAAAAAACAGAGUUCCACGAUUUAGUAAAUUUGAAACUGCUCUUCAACCGUAACGAAUUAGAGAAAGAUUUAUAUAUGAAAAAGAUGCGCCUCAACGAUAUCUAUCCAACGGCGUAUCAUUUGCUUCAUUCCGACAAGCGGUUUAGAAAAAAACGCGAAAAAAGUUCGCUGCCACUCGUCAUCCGCUGCACCAUUUUCAAAACUGCUCUUAAACUGUGUGGAAUCUGGAAAAGUGUUCAACAUGUCGAAGUUGCGCCUAAUCCAUAGCUUUUCAACGGUAUAUUACACGCCUCAUUCCGAUAAACGGUUAAAAAUUAGAGCGAAAACAGUACCGAAAAAAUAACGCGUACAGUUUUUUCCAACGAGAAGUUUACUAGUCUCUAUUGCAGUGCUCGUAGUCAAGAAGAUGCAGUGCACUUGCGUUCAGCGUGCAGUGCGAAAGUGGUGUGCAGAAUAGUUAUUCUGCUAAUAUUAGCAGAAUAGACCGUUUGUGUAUAUGUAUGUAUGUAUAUAUAUAUAUAUAUAUAUAUAUAUAUAUAUAUAUAUAUAUAUAUAUAUAUAUAUAUAUGUUAUCCAUUCGCUCAAAAAAAUUAUUUAUGUUAUCCACGAUAAAAAUAGUUCACACACUUUUGUGCCAUGUCUAAUUGCAUGUGUAUGGGACAUUUUGUACAACCCGCAUAUGAAGAUAAGGAAAAAAAUGGAAGUUUAGGUGUUGUUCAAAAAGUCCUCUCAUGUCACUUUUGGGCCAAGAGAAUAUAGAGUCCAAGUCUCUCACGUUGUGGACUCAGAUUCGGACAACAUAGACAUACCUGACUCCAAAAGCUAAGAUCUCUUUUAUUCGGACUCUGAAUUGGGUGAUUGUUUUUUUGGAAAGUAGAUUUCAUGCUCAUUCCAACCCAAUUGAAUUCACCUUCAAAUUCGUCUGGAGCGUUGAGAUAUUGAUGAAACAAUCUGACGCUGCAGCAAAAUCCGAGACAAACUACAAGUCCAAAGGUGUUGCAUCACCUCCACUUGGGCCCAUGGGCCUUGUACUUUUUUUGUGGUCAGGCUGCCUUGGAAUGUCCUCCCAUCUCCUUGGCUGCCACCCCUUGCUCCUAUAUAAGUAGAUCAAUCUAGUACCUUUUUCCUUGGGAUUUGUUUAAUUAAAAGUUAGCCAUUGCAACUUCGUCUACUUUGUUUGUGUCCAACGACCAGACCAAGACAGCUUUCGGAUCCCCACUUUUAUCAAUACUGUUGGAAAUAUGCCCUAGAGGCAAUAAUAAAAGCAUUAUUAUUAUAUUUCCUUGUUCAUGAUAAUUGUCUUUAUUCAUGCUAUAAUUGUGUUAUCUGGAAAUCGUAAUACAUGUGUGAAUAACAGACAUCAACAUGUCCCUAGUGAGCCUCUAGUUGACUAGCUCGUUGAUCAACAGAUAGUCAUGAUUUCCUGACUAUGGACACUGGAUGUCAUUGAUAACGAGAUCACAUCAUUAGGAGAAUGAUGUGAUGGACAAGACCCAAUCCUAAACAUAGCACAAGAUCGUAUAGUUCGUUUGCUAGAUUUUUGCAAUGUCAAAGUAUCUUUUCCUUAGACCAUGAGAUCGUGUAACUCCCGGAUACCGUAGGAGUGCUUUGGGUAUGCCAAACGUCACAACGUAACUGGGUGACUAUAAAGGUAGACUACGGGCAUCUCCGAAAGUGUCUGUUGGGUGACAUGGAUCAAGACUGGGAUUUGUCACUCCGUAUGACGGAGAGGUAUCACUGGGCCCACUCGGUAAUGCAUCAUCAUAAUGAGCUCAGAGUGACCAAGUGUCUGGUCACGGGAUCAUGCAUUACAGUACGAGUAAAGUGACUUGCCGGUAACGAGAUUGAACGAGGUAUUAGGAUACCGACGAUCGAAUCUCGGGCAAGUAACAUAUCGAUAGACAAAGGGAAUAGCGUACGGGGUUGAUUGAAUCCUCGACAUCGUGGUUCAUCCGAUGAGAUCAUCGUGGAGCAUGUGGGAGCCAACAUGGGUAUCCAGAUCCCGCUGUUGGUUAUUGACCGGAGAGUCGUCUCGGUCAUGUCUGCUUGUCUCCCGAACCCGUAGGGUCUACACACUUAAGAUUCGGUUACGCUAGGGUUGUAGGGAUAUGUAUAUGCAGUAACCCGAAUGUUGUUCGGAGUCCCGGAUGAGAUCCCGGACGUCACGAGGAGUUCCGGAAUGGUCCGGAGGUAAAGAUUUAUAUAUGGGAAGUCCUGUUUCGGGCAUCGGGACAAGUUUCGGGGUUAUCGGUAUUGUACCGGGACCACCGGAAGGGUCCCGGGGGUCCACCGGGUGGGUCCACCUGUCCCGGGGGGCCACAUGGGCUGUAAGGGGGAGCGCCUUGGCCUAAUGGGCCAAGGGCACCAGCCCCACAUAGGCCCAUGCGCCUAGGGUUUAAGGGGGCAAGAGUCCUAGGAGGGUAAGGCACCUCCUAGGUGCCUUGGGGGGGAGGGAAACCUCCCCUUGGCCGCCGGCCAUAGUUGAUUGGAUGUCCUAGGCUGCGCACCCCCCCUUGGUCCUCCUAUAUAUAGUGGGGGAGAGGAGGGACUUCAUACCUGAACGCCCUGGCCUUUGGUUGCCUCCUUCUCCCUCCCCAACACCUCCUCCACCUCCAUAGUGCUUAGCGAAGCUCUGCCGGAGUACUGCAGCUCCAUCAACACCACGCCGUCGUGCUGCUGCUGGUGCCAUCUCCCUCAACCUCUCCUCCCUCCCUUGCUGGAUCAAGAAGGAGGAGACGUGGCUGUUCCGUACGUGUGUUGAACGCGGAGGUGCCGUCCGUUCGGUGCUAGGAUCUCCGGUGAUUUGGAUCACGUCGUGUUCGACUACAUCAUCCCCGUUCUUUGAAUGCUUCCGCUCGCGAUCUACAAAGGUAUGUAGAUGCAUCUAAUCACUCGUUGCUAGAUGAACUCCUAGAUGAUCUUGGUGAAACGAGUAGGAAAAUUUUUGUUUUCUGCAACGUUCCCCAACAGUGGUAUCAGAGCUAGGUCUAUGCGUAGUUCUUCUUGCGCGAGUAGAACACAAUUUGUUGUGGGCGUAGAUUUGUCAACUUUCUUGCUGUUACUAGUCCUCUCUUGCUUCAGCGGUAUUGUGGGAUGAAGCGGCCCGGACCAACCUUACACGUACGCUUACGUGAGACUGGUUCCACCGACUAACAUGCACUAGUUGCAUAAGGUGGCUGGCGGGUGUCUGUCUCUCCUACUUUAGUUGGAGCGGAAUCGAUGAACAGGGUCCUUAUGAAGGGUAAAUAGAAGUUGACAAAUCACGUUGUGGCUUUAACGUAGGUAAGAAAACGUUCUUGCUAGAACCCUAAUUCAGCCACGUAAAACUUGCAACAACAAUUAGAGGACGUCUAACUUGUUUUUGCAGCAAGUGGUUUGUGAUAUGAUAUGGCCAAAGUUGUGAUGAAUGAUGAAUGAUCUAUAUGUGAUGUAUGAGAUGUUCAUGCUAUUGUAAUAGGAUUCACGACUUGCAUGUCGAUGAGUAUGACAACCGGCAGGAGCCAUAGGAGUUGUCUUUAUUCUUUCAUAUGACCUGCGUGUCAUCAAGAAACGCCAUGUAAAUUACUUUACUUUAUUGCUAAACGCGUUAGCCAUAGUAGUAGAAGUAAUAGUUGGCGAGCAACUUCAUGGAGACACGAUGAUGGAGAUCAUGAUGAUGGAGAUCAUGGUGUCAAGCCGGUGACAAGAUGAUCAUGGAGCCCCAAGAUGGAGAUCAAAGGAGCUGUGUGAUAUUGGCCAUAUCAUGUCACGUUUAUUAUUUGAUUGCAUGUGAUGUUUAUCAUGUUUUGCAUCUUGUUUACUUAGAACGACGGUAGUAAAUAAGAUGAUCCCUCAUACUAAUUUCAAGAAGUGUUCCCCCUAACUGUGCACCGUUGCGACAGUUCGCUGUUUCAAAACAUCACGUGAUGAUCGGGUGUUUUAUUCAGACGUUCACAUACAACGGGUGUAAGACAGAUUUACACAUGCAAACACUUAGGUUGACUUGACGAGCCUAGCAUGUACAGACAUGGCCUCGGAACACGGAAGACUGAAAGGUCGAUCAUGAGUCGUAUAGAAGAUACGAUCAACAUGAAGAUGUUCACCGAUGUUGACUAGUCCGUCUCACGUGAUGAUCGGACACGGUCUAGUUUAACUCGGAUCAUGUAAUACUUAGAUGGAUAGAGGGAUGUCUAAUCUAAGUGGGAGUUCACUAAUAAUUUGAUUAGUUGAACUUAAUUAUCAUGAACUUAGUCUAAAAUCUUUGCAAUAUGUCUUGUAGAUCAAAUGGCCAACGUAGUCCUCAACUUCAACGCGUUCCUAGAGAAAACUAAGCUGAAAGACGAUGGCAGCAACUAUACGGACUGGGUCCAGAACCUGAGGAUCAUCCUCAUAGCUGCCAAGAAAGAUUAUGUCCUACAAGCACCGCUUGGUGACGCACCCGUUCUCCCUGCGGAACAAGACGUUAUGAACGCUUGGCAGGCACGUUUCGAUGACUACUCCCUCGUUCAGUGCGGCAUGCUUUACAGCCUAGAGCCGGGGCUCCAAAAGCAUUUUGAGAGACAUGGAGCAUAUGAGAUGUUCGAAGAGCUGAAAAUGGUUUUCCAAGCUCAUGCCCGGGUCGAGAGAUAUGAAGUCUCCGACAAAUUCUUUAGCUGUAAGAUGGAGGAAAACAGUUCUGUUAGUGAGCACAUACUCACUAUGUCUGGGUUGCAUAACCGCUUGACUCAGCUGGGAGUUAAUCUCCCGGAUGAUGCGGUCAUUGACAGAAUCCUCCAGUCGCUUCCACCAAGCUACAAGAGCUUCGUGAUGAACUUCAAUAUGCAGGGGAUGGAAAAGACCAUUCCUGAAGUAUUUGCUAUGCUGAAAUCAGCAGAGGUAGAAGUCAGGAAGGAACAUCAAGUGUUGAUGGUCAAUAAAACCACUAAGUUCAAGAAAGGCAAGGGUAAAAAGAACUUCAAGAAGGACGGCAAGGAGGUUGCCGCGCCCGGCAAGCAAGCUGCCGGGAAGAAGCCAAAGAAUGGACCCAAGCCCGAGACUGAGUGCUUUUAUUGCAAGGGAAGCGGUCACUGGAAGCGGAACUGCCCUAAGUACUUAGCGGAUAAGAAGGCCGGCAAAACAAAAGGUAUAUGUGAUAUACAUGUAAUUGAUGUGUACCUUACUAGUGCCCGUAGUAGCUCCUGGGUAUUUGAUACCGGUGCAGUUGCUCACAUUUGUAACUCAAAGCAGGGGCUGCGGAAUAAGCGGAAACUAGCAAAGGACGAGGUGACGAUGCGCAUCGGGAAUGGUUCCAAGGUCAAUGUGAUCGCCGUCGGCACGCUACCUCUGCAUCUCCCUUCGGGAUUAGUUUUAAACCUUAAUAAUUGUUAUUUAGUGCCAGCUUUGAGCAUGAACAUUGUAUCGGGAUCUCGUUUAAUUCGAGAUGGCUACUCUUUUAAAUCUGAGAAUAAUGGUUGUUCCAUUUUUAUGAGAGAUAUGUUUUAUGGUCAUGCUCCUAUGGUGAAUGGUUUAUUCUUUAUGAAUCUCGAACGUGAUGCUACACAUAUUCAUAAUGUGAGUACCAAAAGAAGUAAGAUUGAUAAUGAUAGUCCCACAUACUUGUGGCACUGCCGCCUUGGUCACAUAGGUGUUAAACGCAUGAAGAAGCUCCAUGCUGAUGGACUUUUAGAGUCUCUUGAUUAUGAAUCAUUUGACACGUGCGAACCAUGCCUUAUGGGUAAAAUGACCAAGACUCCGUUCUCAGGAACAAUGGAGCGAGCAACCGACUUAUUGGAAAUCAUACAUACUGAUGUGUGCGGUCCAAUGAGUGUUGAGGCUCGCGGUGGCUAUCGUUAUGUUCUCACCCUCACUGAUGAUUUAAGUAGGUAUGGGUAUAUCUACUUAAUGAAACACAAGUCUGAAACCUUUGAAAAGUUCAAGGAAUUUCAGAGUGAGGUUGAAAAUCAACGUGACAGGAAAAUCAAGUUUCUACGAUCAGAUCGUGGAGGAGAAUACUUGAGUCACGAGUUUGGCACACACUUAAGAAAAUGUGGAAUAGUUUCACAACUCACGCCGCCUGGAACACCUCAGCAUAAUGGUGUGUCCGAACGUCGUAAUCGCACUCUAUUAGAUAUGGUGCGAUCUAUGAUGUCUCUUACCGAUUUACCGCUAUCUUUUUGGGGCUAUGCUUUAGAGACUGCCGCAUUCACUUUAAAUAGGGCUCCGUCGAAAUCCGUUGAGACGACACCGUAUGAAUUAUGGUUUGGGAAGAAACCUAAGCUGUCGUUUCUAAAAGUUUGGGGAUGCGAUGCUUAUGUCAAGAAACUUCAACCUGAAAAGCUCGAACCCAAGUCGGAAAAAUGCGUCUUCAUAGGGUACCCAAAAGAAACUAUUGGGUACACCUUCUACCUCAGAUCCGAAGGCAAGAUCUUUGUUGCCAAGAAUGGGUCCUUUCUGGAGAAAGAGUUUCUCUCGAAAGAAGUAAGUGGGAGGAAAGUAGAGCUUGAUGAAGUAUUGCCUCUUGAACCGGAAAAUGGCGCAACUCAAGAAAAUGUUCCUGAGGUGCCAGCACCGACUAGAGAGGAAGUUAAUGAUAAUGAUCAAGAUACUUCUGAUCAAGCCCCUACUGAAAUUCGAAGGUCCACAAGGACACGUUCUGCACCAGAGUGGUACGGCAACCCUGUCUUGGAAAUCAUGCUGAACCUUCGAACUAUGAAGAAGCGAUGGCGGGACCGGAUUCCGACAAAUGGCUAGAAGCCAUGAAAUCCGAGAUAGGAUCCAUGUAUGAAAACAAAGUAUGGACUUUGACUGACUUGCCCGUUGAGCGGCGAGCCAUAGAAAAUAAAUGGAUCAUUAAGAAGAAGACAGACGCGGAUGGUAAUGUGACCAUCUAUAAAGCUCGGCUUGUCGCUAAGGGUUAUCGACAAGUUCAAGGGGUUGACUACGAUGAGACUUUCUCACCGGUAGCGAAGCUGAAGUCCGUCCGAAUCAUGUUAGCAAUUGCCGCAUUCUAUGAUUAUGAAAUAUGGCAAAUGGACGUCAAAACGGCAUUCCUUAAUGGUUUCCUUAAGGAAGAAUUGUAUAUGAUACAGCCGGAAGGUUUUGUCGAUCCUAAGAAUGCUGACAAAGUGUGCAAGCUCCAACGCUCGAUUUAUGGGCUGGUGCAAGCAUCUCGGAGUUGGAACAUUCGCUUUGAUGAGAUGAUCAAAGCGUUUGGGUUUACACAGACUUAUGGAGAAGCCUGCGUUUACAAGAAAGUGAGUGGGAGCUCUGUAGAAUUUCUCAUAUUAUAUGUAGAUGACAUACUUUUGAUGGGAAAUGAUAUAGAACUCUUGGACAGCAUCAAGGCCUACUUGAAUAAAAGUUUUUCAAUGAAGGACCUUGGAGAAGCUGCUUAUAUAUUAGGCAUCAAAAUCUAUAGAGAUAGAUCGAGACGCCUCAUAGGUCUUUCACAAAGCACAUACCUUGAUAAGAUAUUGAAGAAGUUCAAUAUGGAUCAAUCCAAGAAGGGGUUCUUGCCUGUGUUACAAGGUAUGAAAUUGAGCUCAGCUCAAUGUCCGACCACGGCAGAAGAUAUAGAAGAGAUGAGCGUCAUCCCCUAUGCCUCAGCCAUAGGUUCUAUUAUGUAUGCCAUGCUGUGUACCAGACCUGAUGUUAACCUUGCCGUCAGUUUGGUAGGAAGGUACCAAAGUAAUCCCGGCAAGGAACACUGGACAGCGGUCAAGAAUAUCCUGAAGUACCUGAAAAGGACUAAGGAAAUGUUUCUCGUUUAUGGAGGUGACGAAGAGCUCGUCGUAAAGGGUUACGUCGAUGCUAGCUUCGACACAGAUCUGGAUGACUAUAAGUCACAAACCGGAUACGUGUAUAUUUUGAAUGGUGGGGCAGUAAGCUGGUGCAGUUGCAAGCAAAGCGUCGUGGCGGGAUCUACAUGUGAAGCGGAGUACAUGGCAGCCUCGGAGGCUGCACAUGAAGCAAUAUGGGUGAAGGAGUUCAUCACCGACCUAGGAGUCAUACCCAAUGCGUCGGGGCCGAUCAGGCUCUUCUGUGACAACACUGGAGCUAUUGCACUUGCCAAGGAGCCCAGGUUUCACAAGAAGACAAGGCACAUCAAGCAUCGCUUCAACUCCAUUCGUGAAAAUGUUCAAGAUGGAGAUAUAGAGAUUUGUAAAGUACAUACGGACCUGAAUGUAGCAGAUCCGUUGACUAAACCUCUCCCUAGAGCAAAACAUGAUCAACACCAGAAUUCCAUGGGUGUUCGAUUCAUCACAAUGUAACUAGAUUAUUGACUCUAGUGCAAGUGGGAUACUGUUGGAAAUAUGCCCUAGAGGCAAUAAUAAAAGCAUUAUUAUUAUAUUUCCUUGUUCAUGAUAAUUGUAUUUAUUCAUGCUAUAAUUGUGUUAUCUGGAAAUCAUAAUACAUGUGUGAAUAACAGACAUCAACAUGUCCCUAGUGAGCCUCUAGUUGACUAGCUCGUUGAUCAACAGAUAGUCAUGAUUUCCUGACUAUGGACACUGGAUGUCAUUGAUAACGAGAUCACAUCAUUAGGAGAAUGAUGUGAUGGACAAGACCCAAUCCUAAACAUAGCACAAGAUCGUAUAGUUCGUUUGCUAGAGUUUUGCAAUGUCAAAGUAUCUUUUCCUUAGACCAUGAGAUCGUGUAACUCCCGGAUACCGUAGGAGUGCUUUGGGUAUGCCAAACGUCACAACGUAACUGGGUGACUAUAAAGGUAGACUACGGGCAUCUCCGAAAGUGUCUGUUGGGUGACAUGGAUCAAGACUGGGAUUUGUCACUCCGUAUGACGGAGAGGUAUCACUGGGCCCACUCGGUAAUGCAUCAUCAUAAUGAGCUCAGAGUGACCAAGUGUCUGGUCACGGGAUCAUGCAUUACAGUACGAGUAAAGUGACUUGCCGGUAACGAGAUUGAAUGAGGUAUUGGGAUACCGAUGAUCGAAUCUCGGGCAAGUAACAUAUCGAUAGACAAAGGGAAUAGCGUACGGGGUUGAUUGAAUCCUCGACAUCGUGGUUCAUCCGAUGAGAUCAUCGUGGAGCAUGUGGGAGCCAACAUGGGUAUCCAGAUCCCGCUGUUGGUUAUUGACCGGAGAGUCGUCUCGGUCAUGUCUGCUUGUCUCCCGAACCCGUAGGGUCUACACACUUAAGGUUCGGUUACGCUAGGGUUGUAGGGAUAUGUAUAUGCAGUAACCCGAAUGUUGUUCGGAGUCCCGGAUGAGAUCCCGGAUGUCACGAGGAGUUCCGGAAUGGUCCGGAGGUAAAGAUUUAUAUAUGGGAAGUCCUGUUUCGGGCAUCGGGACAAGUUUCGGGGUUAUCGGUAUUGUACCGGGACCACCGGGUGGGUCCACCUGUCCCGGGGGUCCACCGGGUGGGUCCACCUGUCCCGGGGGGCCACAUGGGCUGUAAGGGGGAGCGCCUUGGCCUAAUGGGCCAAGGGCACCAGCCCCACAUAGGCCCAUGCACCUAGGGUUUAAGGGGGCAAGAGUCCUAGGAGGGUAAGGCACCUCCUAGGUGCCUUGGGGGGAGGGAAACCUCCCCUUGGCCGCCGGCCAUAGGAGAUUGGAUCUCCUAGGCUACGCACCACCCCCCCUUGGUCCUCCUAUAUAUAGUGGGGGAGAGGAGGGACUUCAUACCUGAACGCCCUGGCCUUUGGUUGCCUCCUUCUCCCUCCCCAACACCUCCUCCACCUCCAUAGUGCUUAGCGAAGCUCUGCCGGAGUACUGCAGCUCCAUCAACACCACGCCGUCGUGCUGCUGCUGGUGCCAUCUCCCUCAACCUCUCCUCCCUCCCUUGCUGGAUCAAGAAGGAGGAGACGUGGCUGUUCCGUACGUGUGUUGAACACGGAGGUGCCGUCCGUUCGGUGCUAGGAUCUCCGGUGAUUUGGAUCACGUCGUGUUCGACUACAUCAUCCCCGUUCUUUGAACGCUUCCACUCGCGAUCUACAAAGGUAUGUAGAUGCAUCUAAUCACUCGUUGCUAGAUGAACUCCUAGAUGAUCUUGGUGAAACGAGUAGGAAAUUUUUUGUUUUCUGCAACGUUCCCCAACAAAUACUUCAUAUAUGUUCACAAUUUCAGAUUGCAUUAUCAUAUUCUUGCUUUUUCUUUAACUGCAUGCAUGAAUAGACCUUUGUGGUCAGGUUGAUCAUGCUUUUGGCAUCGUCAGUAAUCUCAAGAGAUUGGUUUAGCAAUUGCUAAGGCGCAACAUCGUGCAUGUUUGUUGUCAGAUCGUCAAAGUCGACUCCACCAAAUCAAUAGUUAUCAUCUCAUUGAAAGAUCAGGACACCAUCGCCUAUAUCAAGUGGUAUCAGUUUUCACUUUGCUCGGUGAGAAUUUCCAGUUAUCCAUAGAUUAGAUUUAUUUUCUUACGUAUUGUCCAAACAAAAAGCCACAAAAAAAAUUAGAUCUGUUCAUACUUUGUCCAAGUCAGUCUGAGUCUUUGCAAUUUUAUUUUCAGUGCUCGCAUAGUUGAAUUUUCAGUUGCAUCAUCGUGUCGAGUUGCCGGUCUUAGUGUCUAGUUCCUUUAGAGUUUCAAGUUCUGUUCACAUUAGUCACAUCGCUGCUGCAUUGUUAUCAGUUCCGCUGUCCACCACCCCAUCCAUCAAUUUCCACCAUGUGCUACCCACCAUUCAUUGUUGUAAUCAUAGUUGAGGUCGUUCACAUCUUCGCUUGAUCCAAUCUGCAUCUUAUCUAGUUUGUUUUGAAAAGAAGGAGAGAGAAAAAUACAAAGAAAAAAAGUUAAAAAAAGUCAGAGAAAAAAAGAAGAGAAAGAAAAAGAAAAAAGUGUGAGAAAAAAUGAGAGAGAAAAAAUCAGAUCUAUCUAGACUCAAUCUCGUAACCGUAUUCGGAUUGGAAUCUGUUUUGUGCACUGUUCAGUAGAACAGGCAUACCUUCCUCAUAUGAAGUUUGUUUUGGCUCUGCGAGUACUCAAAUUAAAGCUAGCAAUGAGCUGCUUCUGAAUAGUUGUAGAAGCUUCUUCAAUAUUGGAUACCUCAAAAUGAGCUUCUAAAUAUGUCUUAUUGCCCUGUGAAAUUCGCGAACAUAGCUUGUUCCAGUUUUUCAAGCUAGUUUUCAAAUUUUUUGACACCUUGUAUCAAAUCGGAAUUGAGUCAUUCCUUUUGUAUUUGAAAGCUUGAGUCGGUGUCAUUCUUGAGAAAAAUUAUCAUAAAAUUGGCAAAACAAUUUCUAGAGGAAAGUUGGAGAGGGAGUUGUUGGUAUAUCCUGCUUGGCAGUUGUUUCUCAUCAUUAUCUUUACUGUCAUUGUGAUCUUUACUUAUAUCUUGUUGUCUAGAGCUACUUCAUAUCCUUUAUUGAUGCAAGUUGUGCUACGCCAUGACCUCAUUAGUGUUCUGUGCUCGUGUCUCUAGUCCGGUCUAGCCUAGGACCAAAACAGUACCGUUGUUGAGCAUUUAUUAAACAUUGCAUGUUUGAAUGAUUAUUGCUAAUAUUUUGCUACCAUAUAUUUAAGUCUUCCAAGCAACACAUAUUUCUAUAUCGUGUAUACGUAUGUUCCCCUGGCAAUCGCUUUACUCAAUCUUCGGAGUUAUUUAACGCCGAUGGUUGCUUAUCACCACCUGCUGCAUGGUAAGAACUUCUAAGAUAUUGAUACUUGCUUUAGUGUGAGCACUUUACCACCACAUCCCAGUAGUUCAUAGGGACAUUAUUCUUGAAUUUUGUUUCUGGUUUCUACUAAUCAUGACAGGUUCCGAAGAUAGAACUUCUUGGAUGACGGACACAUCUUCACCCUCACGAGAGGUGGGACAACACACACAAGCACAUGGUCAGGUUAUCUCUUUACCGUCAUUUGAGGGUAGAUUUAAUCUGCAAUUUAUCUAGAUUGGGAAUUUAAGUAGAACAGUUUUUUAGUCACCAUGAUUUUUCUAAACUUGAGAGAGUAUGAGCUGCCACUGGAGCAUUUACUGGUUUUGAUUCUGUUUGGUGGAGUGUGAUUGUAAGAAAACAUUGAUAACCAACCCACAACUUGGAAAGAUUUGAAAGCUGUAAUGAGACAACAUUUUUUCCUCCAUACUAUCAUCGUGAAUUGCUUCACAAAUUGGAACAAUUAAAACAAGGCAGUAACACUGUUCAUGCUUACAACUAAGAGUUCAAAUCUUAUAUGCAUCAUUUUGACAUAGAAGAAUCUGAGGAUGAUACAAUGAAUAGAUCUUUUAGUGGUUUGAACCAUGAUAUUCAUGCAAGAUUUCCAGUAUAUUCCUUGUUGCAUUACUGGUAUGUAUGUUCGCACUUGUACCUUUGAGAGACAGAUAUAGGAGGAUGCAUUGGGUGAGUACAACAACUACUAUUCCAGUGCAUGCUUGCCACCACCGGUUGGUUCCUCCACCGUUGCACCUAUUAGAGCAGCCACACCUCAGAUUGUGAGCGCGACAUCAUUGUCAUCAUCCAUACCUACAUCAGCUAUGUCUUUGCCACAAGGUAAUGAUAAAGGUAUUGAUGAUAUAACUUCACAAGAGAAUGACGCAAGCCUAGUUAACAUGAAUACAUCUUGUGUUGAGUUACCUGUUGAUUUGAGUACACCACCUAUUUUAGAGAAUCGUGUUACAGUCAUGAAUGCGUCAUGUGAUCAAACAGCUGAAAUACCAAAAAAAAUUAAGUGCACCCAUUGAAUUAGUUGUUAAUGCUAAAGAAUCAAUGUUCAAUCAUUUUGAUAUGACUUCUAGCCUUGGUGAUGAUUCUUUGUGAAAUGACUUACUCCAUGUUUGCUUAUUUAAGCAUGUUAUAGCAUGUAAAUUUGAUGCAAGUAAGGUUUACUCACCAAUGUUGGGAUGGUUUAAUGAUGAACAUUGUCAAUAUUUUGAUAUGAAUAAGAACUUCACUUAUAUGUGCAAGCUCAGUUGCAAUAUUUUCAUGCCUUCCACUUCUUGUGAUAAUAUUUUGGAUUUAUAUUUUAUGAAAUAUGAAAGUUACUCAUGCAUACAUGUGUCAUAUGUGCAAAAACCAAGGGAAGUGAAAAUGGAUGACAUAUACAAAUACAACAUGUACACCUUGUCUCUUUUGUUAGCCACAUUUCAGAUUAAGCAACGCCGAGGACGACUUUGUAUUCAAGAAGGGGAGGAUGAUGAGGACAUGACUACCUUGGAUACGACCAAAAAUAUUGCAUCCUUGCAAAUUUGUGAGGUUAUUUCUAAUGCAAACUAUGCAAUAAUUUAUUUAUGUUAUUUAGGACAAAAAUACUUCACGGACUUUUCCGUCAUGUCUAAUUGCAGGUGUAUGGGACAUUUGUACUAUCCACAUAUGAAGAUAAGGAAAAAAAGAGAAGUUUAGGAGUUGUUAGAAAAGUCAUUUCACGUAAUUUUUUUGGGCCAAGAGAAGAUAGAGUCCAAGUCUCUCAUGUUUUGGACUCAGAUUCGGACUGCAGAGACAUACCUGACUCAAAAUGCUAAGAUCUCUUUCAUCCGGACUCCGAAUUGGGUGAUUCUAUUUUUUUGGAAAUGAGAUUUGGUUCUCUUUGCCACCCAUUUAGAUGCACCUUCAAAUUCCUCAUGAGUGUUGAGAUAUUUGUGAAACAAUCUGAUGUUAUAGCUUAAUCUGAGUCAAACUACAAGUCCAAAGGUGUUGCAUCAGUUCCACUUGGGCGCAUGGGCCUUGUAUGACCUAGGUUAGUUUUAGCAUGCGUUGGGACAUCCUCCUGCCUCCUCGGCUGCCACCCCUUGCUCUACAAGCAGAUCAAUCUAGUAGCUUUUUCCUUGUGAUUUGUUUAGUUAAAAGUUAGCCAUUGCAACUUUGUGUACUGCGUUUGUGUCCAAUGACCAGAUCAAGACCGCCUUUGGAUCCCCACUUUUAUCAAUACUUCAUAUAUAUUCCUAAUAUUCAGAUUGUAUUAUUAUAUUCUUGCUUGCACUACAAAAAAGAGACACAUCCGUGACAUUUUGGGCCGAACGAAUUUUUUUCCUGUCAUACUUAUGACACUUCUACGACGAUAAUUGUGACAAAACCCGGUAUCAUCAUAGAUGUGGUGGGAUCCUACUUCUAUGACAAAACAUCAUGACAGAAAAUGGGCUUUUCGUCCUGGGCGGGCCAGAGUCGCAGUUGCAUGACAUUCUUUGGGCCGUCCAUGAUGGAAAAACCGUGGUAGAAGCGAGGGCGAGGAAAAUUUUGGGGAGUUCCCGGUUACGGUGGGUGGUCGGGGGCCAAGCGAUGCGCGUUUCUCUCGUACACAUACGCGCGCAUGUGUGAGGCGUUGGCUCUAACUGAACCCGAGCGAGGCGUUGGGCUCUAACUGAACCCGAGCGAUUGCACUGCAGGCGACGCUUUACUGAACCCGAGCGAUCGAUCGAUGGCUGUUAACUAAACCCGAUCGAGCGAUUCCUUCGCUACUACUGCAAAUUGAAGCCGNNNNNNNNNNNNNNNNNNNNNNNNNNNNNNNNNNNNNNNNNNNNNNNNNNNNNNNNNNNNNNNNNNNNNNNNNNNNNNNNNNNNNNNNNNNNNNNNNNNNNNNNNNNNNNNNNNNNNNNNNNNNNNNNNNNNNNNNNNNNNNNNNNNNNNNNNNNNNNNNNNNNNNNNNNNNNNNNNNNNNNNNNNNNNNNNNNNNNNNNNNNNNNNNNNNNNNNNNNNNNNNNNNNNNNNNNNNNNNNNNNNNNNNNNNNNNNNNNNNNNNNNNNNNNNCGAUCGAGCCGGUUGGGGCUGGAUGAACAGGACCCCGUGGAGGGCUGGAUGAACAGGACGACCCCGUGGAGGGCUAGAUGAACAGUAGACGGUGGAGGGGUGCCCGUGGAGGGGUGGUUGAACAGUAGCUGGUGGAGUAGCGCCCGGUGGAGGCUGGAUGAACAGGAGCCCGUGGAGGCUGGAGGAGGUCGACGGUAGCCCAUGGAGGCUGGAGGAGGUUGACGGUGGAGAUGAACAGUAUACCCUGGAGUCCCGUUUUGCGGUAUGCCACACCCCUCCCGAUGAACAGGACCUCAUUUCGACUGUAGCGCUCCAACACAAGUCCGUUUCGUCCGUUUUGCGGUACGCCGCACCUCUCCCGAUCAACAGGACCCCAGUUUCGACCGUAGGAGGUCCGUUUCCUCCGUUUUGCGGUAUGCCAGACCCCUCCCGAUGAACAUGAUCCCUUUUUGAACAUGGCCGGUUGAACACAAGGCUGUUUCCUCCGUUCUGCGGUACGCUAGGCCUCGUUUCCAUCGCCUGUUCCGCCCAAGCCGGUUGGCUCCCACGCGUUCCGUUGCCUCCCGAUGAACACGACGCAUUUCGUUGCCUCCCCAUGAACACGAUGACAACACAGUUUCUCCGCUCCGACCCUGCCAUGUACACGAGCCAUAGCCGUACGUAUGUGCGAGUAGGCGUUCGAGACUCCGGCCGUAUGUACGUACGUGGUCGUAUUUACUUUCUGGCACCCUGGCCGUUGUACGUACGUGUACAUGCUACGUGCACGCCUCUACUACGACACGUGCACGCCUCUAUUACGACACGUGCGCGCCUCUAGAUCGAACAGUAUGUACGUACACAUUCGCGACCAGAAUGACAACGCUAUGUACGCUUCGACCAGGUGGGUCCCGACUUUUAGGCACUUCCUUGUGUGCGAAGAUGUAGCUGGUGGGUCCCAGCAGUCAGGGGGGCGAAUCGUUUUUCUCCCGGAUGCACUUCCUUGCGUGUGAAGGUGUAGCUGGUGGGUCCCAGCAGUCAGGAGGGAAACGUUUUUUUCUUGAAAUACGGUGGCCUGCCCGGUGGGUCCCUACUGUCAGAUGGAGGAAUACUUAUUUUGCGCGUAAUAAGGAGGCACUUCCUUGCGGUCGCCGUGGACCCAGCUGUCAGCCUCUCCAUGCAUUGUACUCUUCUGAUGGAAGUAGGUCAUUGACCACAUUGACCACGCCGCACCGAGAGCACCACGGGCGGUGGACAACGGUGAGGCCUAGGAAGGGGACGACGCGGAGCCAAGGAAGACGCAGCAGUGGAUGCCCACGCGAAGAGGAGUACGAGUGUUCACUGGUUCGGCUGGGGUGUGAGGCUGCCGUCGCCGCAGAAUUACAGGGGGUGUGGGUGAGUAGAAGGAUGGCCUGGCCAGCGAUGGGAGUUGAAGGGGGCAGUGAGGCCUUCGCGGUAUCACAGCCGGCCACGGGAGGCAGGAUCAUGCGACACGACCGGCGCUGCUUUGGGCGGCUGGAGCACGAAGACUAGAGGUUGAAGAAGCACUAUGGCCAUUGGAUGGACAUCGUACGGUCAUUGGAGUAUUGACUAAGUUGACAAAGCCCUCUGUCCCCUUCAACUUAGUAGGCCCACAAGUCAGCCUGCCACCAUACUGGGUCCCAGCUAGCAGGGGGAGUAUUCAUUUCUUUUGUGCAUAAUAAGGAGGCACUUCCUUGCGUGCGAAGAUAUAGCUGGUGGGUCCAAGCUGUCAAUGGCGGCAACAUUUUUUUCGCGAAAUACAGAGGCGCUUUCGGUGGGUCCCAGAUGUCAGGUGGAGGAAUUAUUAUUUUGCGCGUAAUAAGGAGGCAUUUCCUUGCGUGCAGCCAUGGACCCAGCUGUCAGCCUCUCGAUGUACAGUCCACUUCAGAUGCAUAUCGGUCGUUCACCACGUUGACCAGGCCGCGCCGAGAGCACCAGGGUGGUGGACAACGGCGAGGCCUAGCAAGGGAACGACACGGAGGCAAGGAAGACUCAGCAGUUGUUUCCCACACAGAGGGGAGUACGACUAUACGAGGGUUUACUAGUUCAUCUGCCAUCGCCGGAGAAUAACAGCAGGUGUGGGUGAGUAGAGGGAUGGCUAGGCCAGUGAUGGGAGUAUGGUGGGGCGGUGAGGCCUACGCGGCAGCACAGCCGGCCGCGGGGAGGAGGGAGCAAGCAGUCCCACCGGCGCUUGUUUGAGCGGCUGGAGUAGGAAGAGCAGAGAUUGAAGAAGCACGGCGGCCGUUGGAUGGAAAUCCAACAGUCACUGCUUGUGCGUCAACCUUUUUUUAGGAAAGCCUCUAAUAUGUGGAAAACAACAUACAGCUACCAUUAUUUCUAAUAAUUUACAGCCCAUUUGCUAAUUCUUAAGGUUUUUUUUGGAGCCCAUAUUCUUUUUGUUAGCAUUACAUCCCAUAUUGUGGCCACGGUUAAAAAAUUAUACGAAAUUUUGCAUAUUUCGGUGCGGUCCGAACUGUUUUUAAUCCCGAUUUCGAGUCACAUUCAAAAGGAUUUUAAAAAUAAAUGUAUAUCAAUAUAAAAUCCAACAAAUUGUCCACGCAUAAAAAUAAAUGCAAUUUAAUAUCUCGAAAUAACAAAAAGAUAUUUGAAACUAAUUGUCGGUUUGAUGUGCUUUAAAAAUGUACAUCCCAUUUCUCAUUACUGAUAGGCCAUUUUCUCGGCCAGCCAAAUGAAGCUCUCCUUGUCUUGAAAGAUUUGUAGCCCAACAGGCCUGACAAAGCGACUUACUUGGCAAAUCACAAAAAAACUGGGCUGUGGCCGUGGACCCAGCUGCGGCCGUGGACCCAGCUGUCAGCCUCUCCACGUACAGUACUCUUCCGAUGGAAGUCGGUCGUUGACCACAUUGACCACGCCGCGCCGAGAGCACCAAUGCGGUGGACGACGGCGAGGCCUAGGAAGGGGACGACGCGGAGCCGGGGAAGACGCAGAAGUGGAUGCCCACACGGAGAGGAGUACGAGGGUUCACUGGUUCGGCUGCGGCGUGACGCUGUCGUCGCCGCAGAAUAACAGGGGGUGUGGGUGAGUAGAGGGAUGCCUUGGGCCAGUGGUGGGAGUAGUAGGGGAUGGUGAGGCCUCCGCGGCAUCACAGCCGGCCACGAGAGGCAGGAGCACGCGGCACGACCGGCGUUGCUUUGGGCGGCUGGAGCAAGAAGACCAAAGGUUGAAGAAGCACUAUGGCCGUUGGAUGGACAUCGUACGAUCACUGCAGCUAGAAUCGUUCAUAUUGAGUAAGUUGACAAAGCCCUCCGUCCUCGUCAACUUAGUAGGCCCACAAGUCAGCCACCCACUAUGGUGGGUCCCAGCUAGCAGGGGGUAUUCAUUUUUUUGUGCGUAAUAAGGAGGCACUUCCUUGCGUGCGAAGAUAGAGCUGGUGGGUCCGUCCUGUCAGUGGGGAAACAUUUUUUCGCGAAAUACAGAAGCCCUUCCCACGUACAAUGCGUAAUAAGGAGGAACUUUCCUUGCGUGCGACCAUGGACCUCGUGGGUCCCAGCCGUCAGGCUCUCCACGUACAAUCCUUUUUCGAUGACUCUCAUAUGUUGACCACGCCGCGUCGAGCGCACCGAGGCGGUGGACGACGGCGAGGCCCCAGACUGGAACGACCCGGAGAUGGGGAAGACGCGGUAGUGGAGUCGCAGACGGAGAGGAGUGGGAAACUUGACUGGUUCGGGUGCGGGGUGGGCCUACACUCGGCAGAGAAUAACAGAAGGUGCGGAGUGGAGGGAUUUCCUGGCCGUCGGCGGGGUAGCGUUUCGCUGAGGAGCGCAAAACAAUGCCGCUGGACGCCGAAGGCUGGAGCAGGCGGUCCCGGCGGCGCUAGGGGGAGAAGAUGAGAGAUUGAAGAAGAAUGCCGGCCAUUGGAUGUAAAUCCAACACCUUUUGAGGCUUCGACCUACUGGCCCACAUGUCAGCCAGUCCAUUUGUUUUUUAGUCCAUUUGGUGGGCUGGGUGAAACAAUGAUGUAGCAUCUAUGCAGCCCAUUUAAAUCCCAUUUGCAUUUUUCUCGAAAUCCGUGGACUUGCUGGUCUGGGUGAAAAUAUCAUGUUGGGCUAGACGGAGAAAUGUUAUAAAAACAUAAACACAUGAUUGCACGUCUAUUACUGCAUUGGUCAGUAAAAUCUUUGCAAGCUUAUGUACGCAAUCACUAGGAGUUAACUUGCCAAGUUAUAUAUAAACAAUUAUUAUUAUUAUUUUGUAAGAUAUUUCAACUUACGAAAUAAAAUAUCAUUUAAAUUUGAUGAGUUAAUAGUAUGUGGGGUAUUAUUAUUUUUUAGGCUAGACGUGGGACAAUUGAGUUGGUUCUAGGGUAAAGUACUGGGAGAAAACUCGGUUUAGAUCGAAAAAGAAAGUGGGAGAAAAUUCAGAGACCUGCUGGGUGCACCUGAGGAGGGGAAUAUGUUGGGAGGAAGGAGAUUCAAAGCAUGAAAGCCGAGUGAACUAGUUUUUUUAACGGACAAGUGAACUAGUUACAUACAUAAGCAAAUAGCUACUAAAAAAAGCAAUCAGGUUAAUGGGUUCUUAAAAGAAAUAUUUCGGACAAAACAGAUAAUUACGACACAUAGGCUAAUGCAUGAAACACUCAGAUGAUAAAGGUGCUUAUAAACAGAUAAAAUACAACAUCUACACCUUCCAGGCACGCUUGAUCAUGACGCUGCGGCUGUCCGUGUACUCAUCGGUUACGGGAAGCAGACACGCCCUCAUGUCCAAGAUAUGCCUGUACAUGUUGUAGCAUGCAUAUGCGUCCUUGGCCGCAUGGGUUAUGUAGGCUAGAUUCAGAGGUACUCCAACGUGUUGAGGUCCUUGGUAUCGUUGUCUUUUUUCAUGUUGGCGUAUCAGGGGUCGAUGAUGGUCUCGAUGAGGUCAACCACGGAGUCCUUCUCCUGCCCGUUGCUGAUGAUCUUGUAUUGCUUCUGGAUGUCGACAAGCUUGUUGCACCAGACGGCUUAAUCGUCGCGUUCUUCCUUCUCUCCACUGUAGCGAAGGUGCAGUCGGCGCUGCCGAUGAAACGGGCGAAUGCUCAAGAACCUGGUGCCGCCAUAGGACUGAGGCAAGGCAGAGCUUCACCAAGUCUGGAUCGUUGGUGUACAUCACAUUCAACUUGGUGCAGCCAUAGGACUGAACGGCAAACUCAAAGGGGAACUCCUUGCUGAAGUCCAUAUCCAGCAGGCUCACCCCUCGGAUCGCCAUUGGAGUAUCUUCGAGUGAACGAGUGUAUAGGCGGCGGCAGCAGUUCGUUUUUCAGCUCUUGGGGAACUGGAUUCAACAGUAAGCUGAGUGUGUACAUGCGACAACAGUUACUACCCCUCCCUCGUCCACUGCACGCCUGGCAAAAGAUGCACCCUCGGCGCAUUCAAAUGCCUCCAUUAAGAAACCACUCCGGCCACACAUCGGUUCACGAGCGGGUUUGUAUUGGUACUGUAAUAACAGGAGUUAGUGGUCACUUUACUUAAAUUUAAUUAGCUUUAAUAGAAAUUUAUACUUAAAACAAGCAAUGCAUUGGCUCGUUCUAUCAGUGCCACAGGAUCAACAUGCACAACAAACAUGCAUACACAUCUCAUUGAUUCCCAGCUUGCAAGAUUCAGAACCAACCCAUUAGAGCCUUUUGAUAAAUUGAAUAUCGGGAUUAAAUCCAUCUUGGCUAGCCAUGUCAUACAAUCGAACAACUUGGCGAAUGCUCUUGACCGUCACAGCAUCUGUAGUUGAGUAUUCCUGUUUGCACAACACAAACAAGGAGAGCAUGAUUUCGCUUUAAUAGUGGCCUCCUUGAACUCAACCUGCAGCUCCAGUAGGAUGAGGUCUGCCUGGAGUUCCAUGAUUCAAUUCAUGCGCCUUUUUUCUGCAGUUCACCUAAAAUGAAGCAAAGAUUACAUCAUUCAGCUAGCAAGAAGUACUCACUCCCGUGAGCUGGCAGGUUCUUCUUUAGUAGUUGCACUAAAAUUGAGGAACAUUAAGGUUGGCUGUCCGGCUCAUGUAAGGUGCAACUAUAACUUUCUUAUCCUUUUGUGCAGUUCCACUAAAAUAAAGUGCCAUUGUGGUGAUAGUGAUGGCUCCAUCUUGCAAAGGCUAAUAAAAUGUUGCACGAGAUUACUAGCAGAACUUGACGGAGAUUUUGGAAACUCCAAUCACCAUUUUGUGCAGUUCCACCAAAAUUGAGAGAUGUUGCCCACGUGACAUUUUAGUUGAACUGCACAAGACACUUAUUCCAAAAAAAGUGUUUUGUGCAGUUCACCCAAAGGUCACAAUAGCAACAAGGUGAAAUGGAUAUCCCUAUCUGCACAAAAAGAUAGAAAGUAAACAUUUGCUGGUCAAUAAGAAUAUACGAAACAUAUACAAAAUGAAAAGAAGCAUCUUAAUUAUGUUCAUGGCAAUCCCGCAAGGACAGUAGAAAUUUUAAAACGUCAGCAAUGCUUCAUGUUACAAGAAGCAUUACGAUCAACAAUGAGAUUCCUCAAAUAUGGGAUUACUUUAAUGGUGGCAUUGCUUAUUUACCAGACACAGUAAAUCAACAACAGCUAAAGAGUUGGUUUAAGGGCAUGGGACCGUGGGGACACCAGGACACUCAGCGGCGUAAAGGAGCAACUUACUUAUCAUACUGGCGAAAACAGCAGGAGUGCCAUUUGUAACACAGUUUAAUUGCAUCUUAUCACUGGAGGCAUUAGAUUAACAAUAACACUGGUUAGGCAUGUCCCUAAGGUAACAGUGUGAUCCUUCAUUUUACAUGUGCCCUGACAUUAACAACAGCAAAAGGUUCGUAUAAGGACAUGCGACAGUGGACGCAUCAGCACAAUGUACCUACAAGGAGGCAUAAAGUGGUGAUGCCGAGUUUGUUCAUGCUAUGUGAGGGCAGCAAACCUAAUCCUGGAGACCUUGUACUAUGUGAGGGCAGAAAAUCUAAUCCUGGAGACCUUUUACUAUGUGAGGGCAGCAAAUCUAAUCCUGGAGACAUUUUACUAUGUGAGGGCAGCAAAUCUAAUCCUGGAGACCUUUUACUAUGUGAGGGCAGCAAAUCUAAUCCUGGAGACCUUUUACUAUGUGAGGGCAGGAAGUCUAAUCCUGAGACCUUUUACUAUGUGAGGGAAGCAAAUCUAAUCCUGGAGACCUUUUACUAUGUGAUGGCAGCAAAUCUAAUCCUGGACAUACUCUGUUGACUUGUCCACCAGCCGCCACUUUCUAUCCUUUUUUCAACCAAUAAGAGAUAUGUUCCUUAUCCAGUUUGUACUGCAUUUUCCCAUUAUUUCCCUUUUCAACUACUUUCACCAUAUUAUUUCCUCUUUGAAUCAAGUCCUAGUUUCAUGCUACAACUUUCCCCCCUUUCUUCGUUGUUUGAAUAAAGCCCUAGAUUCAAAUGCAUGAAGUAGCUUUACCUUUAAUAAUACUAAAAAUUUAGGUGGCUUUGGAAGAGCUGAUGGGAGUAGAAAAAGAUGCACAUGCAGACACGUGGGGAGCUGGGGUAGUAGAGCAAGGCCGCUUUCGAAGAACUUACACCUGAGGGUCGCCGGGAUGUCGGCGGCAGCAGGUCGGAUCUGCAGACAAUACGACAAGGAGGAAGAAGGGUCGGAGGACCUCCCGAGCCGGCUCUGUGUCGGAGAGAAUGGCACGGGCAGAGGAUCGGGCCCCUCCGGCAGCUGUGGGUUUCCUCCUUCGGCGGUGAUGACCGCGGGAAUGAUGCACCUUUUAGUCCUCUACACGCACCGGCCGAAGAGAUCUGGCCAGAUCUGUGACCAGCGGUGAGCAGAGGGAAAAUGUCGCUACCGCUGUCUUGUUUAUACUGGGAGGAUGAAAGAAUGAAGAGAGAAACCCUCGUAAAGCAAGCGCUCAGGCCCCUGCAUACAUAUAUAGUGGAGUGAUUAUCUUUUUUCUCUCCACAACAAGCGUUUCAAUUUGUGUAUGUGGCAUUAAAGAAAAGAAACUCUCUAUUUAAGGCGACUAUUGUAUGACUCCUACUUACUACUAGUAGUACUAGUAUUGUUCACUUGUGCUCCCCGCCCCUCCAUUCAUUGAACAACCCCACGGGUGAAUAAACAUACAGUAAGUACUGUAUUUAUAUAGAACGAACAAGCUCGAACUAUUUUCGCGUAGUUAAAAGUUGAGGGCGGGGCUUUUCCCGGGCAGUACGCGCGGCAGUUUUCGGGUAGGCGGUUGGACAGAGAGGCGAGGAGGGUGACUGAGGGCGGAUUCUCAAACAUACUGCUGGAAAGGUUGGGCUGUGCGAUUUUUACAGUGCGUUACUGCUGGAAAGACUUAUGAUAUCACCACUCACUAUAGUCAUGAAUUACUAGCGCUCCGACCGAGGUGAUGCCCCCCUUCCGUUUCGCGCUCUAAUCUGGUGCAUGACACAUCGACCCGGAUGCUGGCUCUCCCACAUGUAGGAGUAGUAAGAAGGAGCAAAGAAUGAUGCAGUAUAUACUAGUACUAGUACUACUCAGGUCGGAGGAGUGCAAACCACGGGAGCCCAGUGAACCAGCAGUGCAAACCACGGCAGCCCAGUGAACCAGCAGUGUGAACUACGGUAGCCCAGUGAACCAGCAGUAAACAAUGUGGUGAUAUGGCCAUAAAAAACAAUGUGCUACGGUCCACACUGUAGCAUGUACAGUAACACUCCUCUUUGUUUGGAUCCCCGAGUUAGAGCUAGUAUGGGUUGAAAUAGCCUCAUAUUAUCGAAACAAGAGGGGUUAGUUUGAGCUAGUUUGCUCUAACCCAGCUAAAAAAACUAGCCCGGUGGAGAGGUUCUUAUUGGGUUAGUUAUCCUCGGGCCCACUAAAAGAGAACUAAAAAAAUCUCCCCUGCCCGCACCAGAUCGCUCCCCCCCUCUCGCACGACUACUCUCUGUUCCCCAUAGGGCCGACCGCCCAAGUGCCGCUCGCCCUCUCUCUCCUACGGCCGCCCUCUCCUUCCGGCCUCCGCCGCCCUACUCCAGCCGCCCUCUCCCUCCGGCCUUCGAAGGUCGCCCUGCUCCUCCUUCACUGGUGGUUUUUGUCCCUCUGUCGUGCGCGGCGGCGGCGCAUCUACCAGGGAGGUCUCGAGAGGGGUGAGUUUGUUCGUUCCUUCUCUGUCUCAUGGCCAUAUCAUUGAUCUUGCUCGCUCUAGCGCUAAUUCUAAUUUGGAAAAGUUGAUCCUGAUCAAACUUGGUAUAGAUUUAUGGUGGACGCAUGGAAUUGUUUGAUGCUGCUUGAGGAGGUAAUAAAUCUUUCUAGAGGCCCAAAGAUUCAGUUCACCUUUCUAGGUAUUUCAAUUUCAGGCUUGCAUUAUUUCCAGAGGCCCAAAGAUUCAGUUCACCUUUCUAGGUAUUUCAGUUUUAGGCUUGCAUUAUUUCUAGAGGCCCAAAGAUUCAGUUCACCUUUCUAGGUAUUUUAGGUACAGGCUUGCAUUAUUUCUAGAGGCCCAAAGAUUAAGUUCCCAGUCGGUGGCAAGCGGCCCUGCUGCCCAUGCCGGUGUCGACCUCAACUCGCAAGGGCCUGCGUCAGAGGGGUUCCCGGGGCUUGGGCUCUACAGAGCCUUCCUCCAAAGCGACGAUGGCGAGCUCCUCCCUCGGUACGUGAGGGGCUCCGGGCUCCCUCCCUAUCGUGAAUGACUUCCAUGAUGAGUUAGCUCAUGCUUUGUUUCAUGAAGUGUUUUUUUGUGAAGCUUGAUUGACGACUUGUAUGUUUAAGUGAGAUAUCUCAUUUGUAUGGACAAAGUAAAAAUUAUCAUGUUUUGCAUGCUUGAUUUGUAAAGAUGGUUCGUUUAUGUCAAUUGUGAGCGGGAGGAGGCCACAGAAGAGCCGGCCACACCAAAUCCGGCAGGAAAUAGGGUCCAAAGUAGUCAAAUGAUUGAGAAAGAGCAUUUAUUGUCAAUCUAACCCUAGAAUCCAUACACCUCUUUGGUUUAGAGUUAGUUCAGGGUUAGAAUCUAACUCUAACCUCUAACUGAGUUAGGGUUCUCCUCGUCUUGGUUGAUCGCCACCAUACUUUCCCCAUACCUGUGUUUUCAGUAUCCUACGAAUCGAAGAGGCCCUUUUUUUGCGGGAAAAAUCAAAGAGGCUCUUAGACUGGUUUAGGUCCGGUCAUUUUUAUAAACAUGUUAUAUCCAAAAUUUAAUGAACGUGCUCCGGUUUCUAUGAAAAUAAUCCGGUUUCAUGUAGUAAUUCAUUCAUUUAUUUAUUCUUCUGCAGGGGGUUUGCAUGUAAUUCAUGAGGUCUGAAAUGUAAAGUACCCCGACAUAUGCUUCGAGUCGUGCAUGCACUACGACCCAGAUGCUCUAUGUCCCACAUGUCGGCAAAUGGGAGCACGUGGAAAUAGCCUAGGAGUACAUAUAGGAGGAUAAAUGCGUGAAAUAAUAUGUACUGUGAAGCGUAGCUGCGGUUCAAAAAGGAGACCUAAAAUGAUGACAGUUAUAGGUCACACGCACCCAACUAGUGGUACUAGACAUACGACUAAUUUUUCCCUCAAAGAAAAAGAGGCACGAGUGCUCAGUACUCCUAUUCUAUAAACACGAGUCCCAUCUGACAAUAGUGUCUGUGCUACAGCUAGCUCUCCUCCCUCGUUUCUCUCUUCUAAUUCUGAACUCGGUAGAUGCCCGGUGGGCGGGGUGGGUUUGCUCAACUGCGGCCCCACCUCACAGUGAAAACAUUACGACUGGAAUAAAAAUGCCAUAUACUCCCCCUGUUCCUAAAUAUAAGCAUUUUUAGAUACUAUUUCAAAUGGAAUACAACAUACAAAUGUACGUAGACAUAGUUUAGAGUGUAGAUUCACUCAUUUUGCUCCAUAUGUAGUAGUCACUUGCUGGAAUCUUUAGAAAGACUUAUAUUUGGGAACGGAGGGAGUACUAUACUAAUAAAACAUUAAGGACACGAGGCGAUGCAGUGCUGGUUACAGGAGGCAAGAAGAAGAGAUGCAUCCAUCGGCGACGUCCACCACCUCGACUCAGGGCGCCGGCCCACCAAACGGCGCCUAAGUAGCAGCGGCUUUUGUGGCCAAGUAGACAUGCUUCUGAACAAUGGCGUCCAAAGAUUCCAGCCGCUGGAAGAAGGCCAACGUCUUUUUGUCCUCGCUUGCCUUGUAGUGGCAUAUGUAGACGAUUUCCUUGUAGACGUGGAUGUGCAGGUCGACGGUUUCUUGCAUGGCGAGGCGCUGCGCGGCUAGCGCGACCUCGAGGUGCACAUUCUUCGUCACGACCUCCGGCACCUGCAGGGCCACCAUGCCUUGAAAGAGUUCGUCACCAUGGAGACCGAUGAGGGUGGCAGGCAAUGAGGAGCCUGGGCGCGCGGGCUGGAGCAGUACGGCAAGGUUGUCCGCGUGCUUCUUGACAGCAGUGAACUUGCGGAUGGAGUUGACCAUCAUGUCGUCCAUGGGAGAGGCAAAGCCAGCGUCGGCGAGGGCUACGAUGCUGGAGGUCGCCAGCAUCGUAGGGAAACGCUGCACGGUGCGGGGCUGCAGGCCGACACCUUGGAUGAUUUGGCACAGCCGUCUGCCGCUCGCGUCCAUCGCCUCCAUAGGUGCUUGUGGCUUCUGGUCACUUGGUCUUGGAUUGGAGUGAGCAGUUUUGCGCAGAGACUUGGGAGUAGAUGGAUUGGAGUGGUGAGGCGCCUUUAUUAUAUGAGAGUCCAAACUCUGUUGCAUUCACAUCGUGCUGGCUCUAUUAUGCUUCUCCAAUUAAUUCCCUCUACAUGUAAUUGAGGAUGCAUCAUUGACCGUUCAACUACAAUCACCUGGGUGAUAGGUAGGGCCAGAAGACUAUUUUUUUUAAAAACUUUGAGAUGGCCACAUAGCAUGGAGCCGACCCCAACGAUUUUAAGCUUACAGGCACGGUACACGCUAUCCUAGACUACUCUACACAUGAAACUGCCACACAAGCGUCUGGGCUGCGCUUGGCUCUUCGCCUCUCCGGGAAGUCAAACAAUGAUGGAGUACUACUGCAUUGGAGGAGUACUACAGUAUGCUUCUAUCGGAUUUCGGGUUCCGGCAGACCCUUGAGGUUCAAACACUGGGGUGCGCGCGGAGGUUUCGCCCUCUAUCUACCUGCUCCUCGCCGAAUCGCUAGGAUCUAAACUACGAAAGAAUCAACACAAGAGACACGGGGUUUAUACUGGUUCAGGCCACCAUUGUGGUGUAAUACCCUACUCCAGUGUGUGGUGUGGUGGAUUGCCUCUUGGGCUGAUGAUGAACAAUACAAGGAAGAACAGCCUCGCGAGGGUAUGUUCUUGACUGAUGCGAUGAACUGCUAGGAGGAGUUCAGUCGCUCUAUCUACUGGUUUCUUGGUGAGGAUCCAGAUGCCUCUACCCUGGGGGUGGCUAGUCCUAUUUAUAGGCAAAGGCCUUGGGCCUCUCCCCAAAUAUUGAGCGGGAAGGGCGCCAACAAUUGGCCAUUUUGAAGGGGAACAGCGGGUACACCUAUCCAGACUAAAGUUGGUCCUCGCCUGCCAAAGGCUCUGGUGGUGACGCCUGCUUGGGCUCCACAAUGACUUCCUCCCUGCCGUUGGGCUGGUCUUGGUCUUGUUGCACCGAAACGGAUGCCUUUGCUUGAUGCUCUCGCCUGCGCUUGCUCCCUUUGCACCAAAGAGGAAAGGAGGACACUGCGCAGGCUGGCGCCCGACUGGCGCCCUUGGUCGUCAUGGCUUGCGUCAUGGGCACCUCGCGAGGUACCAUGCCUUGAACUCUCCGCCUCCUCGUGAGCCUGCCUGAUGAGGCCGUGCCUGUGGAAGCUCCCUGUCGUCCGCCCCGCGAGGUUUGGCCCCUCGCGAGGGUCUUGAGCUUGUGUUGAUGAGGAUGGGCUAUGCUAGGCCCCCUUUGAGCCACGCCACAGGCCGCAGGCAAGCAAGUCUGGGGACCCCCGUUCCCAGAACGCCGACAGCUUCCGGCGAUCUGACACCGAUUGAACUGCUGCAUGUCCAUCGCGUGCGGGAGGGAGAGCGUGUAGCAAAAGCUUCUCCUAGUCUUGCCAGCCACCACGCUCAUGGGCGAGGGAGGGACGCUCCUGCCUUUGCGUGUAUGACAGGUGGGCCCGACAGGUGGGUGGCCAACCUUUGAUACAGCCAAAGGCAGGUGCAGUUAAGUCCGCGAGGGAGAGGAUAAUCAAACUUCUCAUUGAUGUACGAGUUGACGCGACACAUCAAAGCACUGCACUCGAUAUAUUUCAAUAAUUUGCGUUUACCGAUACAUUAAUUACAACACAUGCAUGCAUGCCGUGACUCUCUGAUGCGGAGCAUCCUUCCAUCAUCCCCAUGGACUCUAUAUCGACACAUGCAACCCCACAAGGACCCAUGACAAGAGCUAGAGCACGUGCUUUGGAAACCGAGGUGAACUCCUUCCUACUAGACUUACAUAUGGACACAAAUGGAACAUGUCUACUACCUCACCAAAAUAUGCUAUGCCUCCUUAGGUAUGAAGUGGAACAUCACGAAGAAGCCCAGGAGCAUCCCCAAGGAGAAGGAGGACCACCCCAAGGCCGUACGAAUCAAGACGGAGUGCAAUAGCAGCAACAAAGGAAGUCCCAGGUGACCCCGUGCACACGGGCCCCAGAGACCCCGUGCCCACGGGCUACACAGGAAACAGGCGCUGGAGCACCCCGUGCGCACGGGCCUGUACCGUGCCCACGGGACCCCAGUGCGCACGGGCCCAACUUACCCCGUGCACACGGGCCUCCCAGGAUGGCCGGCUGAGAUUGCAUCUUCGGCUCCACUUCUUCCCCUUCGACUCCAAGGCUAUAUAUUCCGUACCUAGGACCAUGUUUAGGGUUAACAAAGUAUUAGAUGAGAUCUUGGUGAGCUUUGCUCCAUUACCUUCCCUCUUCGAGGAUCAAGACCCCAUAGGGAAGAAUCCUGAGGAUUUCAAGACCUCCAUUGGGAGAAGACUACCUUCAAGACCCCUCUUUCUUUGGAUUUGGAAUGAACUUUGCCAUUGUAUCUUUCCUUUGAUUGAGUUUGUGACUUGUGGAUCUUGUGUUGUUACCCUAGUGGAUGUGUAAUCGGGAAUUGUUGGAGUGAUUACCUCUUGUGUUCAUCUUUGUGUUCUUGUUGUUCUUGUGGUUUCUCUCCCUUUUCCCCCUCCAAGUGUGAAAAGGUCCUUACUAGGGUUCUACCCUACAUCAUCUUGGUAUCAUGAGCCACGUUGAUUCACAUCUUGGAGUCCCUACCUUCCACUUUCUAGCUUGAUUUUGUUGUUUUUCGUCCUAAUCCAAAAAUCCUUACCAAAAAUAGCCCCAAAAAUUUUUCUUGCAAUUUGUUGAUCUUCUGAGAUUUGGUUGAUUUGAUCCACAAAUUUGGUGUUUGGCAAGUGGAUCUACCCAUCCACCAUCAUCCCCAACCUUCCACUGUUUGAGUUUGGCCAAAAACUUGGGAAUCACCAUGAAAUCAGAUCAGUUCAUCCGCUCUCGGGAGACCCUGUGCACAUGGGCCAUCGGGACCCCGUGCACACGGGCCUCACUUACCCCAUGCACACGGGCUAUCCAGGAAGUUUCGGCCAUUUUUCUGUUCUUCUCAUUUCGUUCCACCACCACCUCUUGUGUUCUUCCGCACCAUUCUACAUGUUUGUUUGAGUGUUCGGUUGCGAUUUCUCUUGUGUCCUAAGGUGUUUCGGCUACUUAGGUGCAAGUUGGUAUCAUCACCAAUCAUCGACUCGGACAACACUUUGGCUUCGACAAGAUCAUCUUUGACCGUAAGCAAGGAUGGUAACCUCGACGACACCUUGUACUCCCUUGCCAUUAACUUGAUAGCUUCAACCCAUUUUGCGUAGCUUACCCAUCAAGACUAGCUUGUUGAGUAUUGCCGGGCCACGCCUUAGUGCACCAUUUAGUGUUCCGUCCAUCCCAUGCAUUUACUACUUGUUACCUCGUUGUGUGGCUCGUAUAUCAAGCAUCGUGGCAUAGUUGAAAAAAAAAGAAGAAGAAAAAGCUUUUAAGCAAAAGAGAAGAGAAGCAAAGAGCUUAUACGCAAUAGCAUCGAGCCUUAGCAUACGUGCAUCAUCUUGGUCACCACAUACAUAAGCAUACUUGGGAUAGUGAGACGAGUGGAUUCUCUAUUAUGUUGGUGCACUAGCGUAUCUAGCCCAUUAGUGCAAUCGAGCUAGCGUCUCUCUAGUAUCCGUACGACAAGAGCUUUUCCCGUGAUUAGACAUCUUCGAGCUCACCCCUUGGUUGUGCCGAUCCCAUUUAUCUUCCGUGUGUGUGUUCCUCGUGUUAUCUUGGGAGGUUCAUCUAUUUGUCUUAUUUUCCAUUUGUGAAUCUUCUCAACUUUAUCAACAUCUUGACUAACAUUUGCUUGAUUUAUUUGUGCCUUUCCUAACCAAGCUCCUCCAUAGACCAUUUACUUGUAGGUGUGAGAAACAAUUCCCGGUACCAAUUCCCCUAUUGUAACAUCACGUGGGAUCAUACUUGUUACAUCCACAAUCUUCGAAAAAGGUAACUUUGGUUUUGUUCUCUCAUUUUCCUACUCACCACCACUUUCUUAUGAUGGAUAGGCCAAGUUCCACUACCAACCCACUCUUCAUCGAGCAAGACGACGACAUGUCAUCAUUCCUCACCAAGAGCCACCUCUUUGGUGCACAACGAGCGUUACAUCAAGAGAAACAAGCAAUGAACAACCGCAUCGACAACCUUGCCACCGACUUGCGACUUUCCGAGCAACGUACACGAGACUACUUCGACAACAAGCUCGACACACACAAGCAAGAGAACGAUGCAAGAGUGGACGAGAUCCGCGCUUUGUUGGUCAACCGGCCUCCUUCAACUUCUUCCUACUCAAGAAGGAGCCACUCAAGUCGACACUCCGACGACGCCUUCUCUGGCUCAAGUACACCGUCAUCAACCAUUCUUCGACGAGCCGCGCGUCAAGACCGUCAUGCAUCUCGCAACCCGCUACACGUCAAGCAUUCAGAAGAGCAAGUCGAUGAGCAAGUUCCUCGUCCUCAAUCAAACCAAGUCGCUUUUUCUCAAGCUCAAGAACGACAACGACUACGGCGCCAAGAGGAAGAACGAGCACGCCUACACCAAGAGGAAGAACGAGCGCGUCUACACCAAGAGGAACAAGACGCCGAGGCUCAACGUCUUCAACAACAACAACGAGAAGCACAAGCUCUUGAUGCGAAACAUGCCCUUAAAGAAUCAAGUCGAGCCAUCGCCAACUGCAAUCGCGAACGGCGCAAUAAAGAGGAAGCCCUUCGAGAAGAAAUCCAAGAGAGGAACUACCAACCACGUGUGCAUCGUCAAGCUCCACCUCAACCUCAAGUUCAACAAGAGCAAGUUGAUCAUGGACUUCCUCCACGCCAAGAGCGACACCAAGUGGAACAAAUGCUUCAAGACCCUCCUCCACGCCAAGAGCGACAUCAUGAGGAACGAGCAUUCGAGGACUUUCCAAGGCAAGAGCGAUAUCGCAACCGCUAUCAAGAUGAAGAGCAACGCUAUGGAAAACUCAAAUUCACAAUGCCCAAGUUCAAUGGAAGCAAUGAUCCGAAAGAAUACCUCUCAUGGGCAUUGAAGGUCGACAAAAUCUUUCAUUUGCACAACUAUGAGGAAGAGAAGAAGAUCGCAAUUGCAUCACUUGAGUUCCAAGACUAUGUGCUCAUAUGGUGGGAACAAGUCCUUGAGCGCCGAGAAGAAAGAGGUGACCGUCCAAUCACCACUUGGGAUCAAAUGAAGGAUGUCAUGCAAGCACGAUUUGUUCCCACCUACUACAAUCGUGAUCUCUUCAAGAAGCUACAACUCCUCAAGCAAGGAACAAAGAGUGUUGAAGAAUACUACUAGGAAAUGGAGAUAGCCAUGAUUCGAGCCAAUGUCAAGGAAGAUGAUGAGCAAACAAUGGCAUGAUUCUUGAAUGGACUCAAUCAUCCCAUCAAGAAGAUGGCCGACUUCCAACCCUAUCCCAACCUUGUCGAGCUCGUGCAUCAAGCGACCAAGGCAGAACGUCAAGUGCAAGAUGACUUCAAGUACGCCAAGUACUCAUCCAAGACAUACGGCUUCUCCAACAAUCAAGCUUCAACAACUCCUCCAACAUCUACGUCAACCAAGCCUUCUCCAGGCAAUGAAGACAAGACAACCUACAAGAAACCUUCGUCAAAUUCAAGUCGUCUUCCUCCUACUACAAGCAACUACAAGCCGCGUGCUUCUUCCUCUACUCUGACCGAUGAGACCGUCAAGACAAGUUCAAUCAAGUGCUUCACAUGUGGCGGCCGAGGCCACAAGUCCUUCCAAUGCACCAACAAGCGCACCAUGAUCCUCAACGACGAUGGCACCUACGACUCAAUGAGUGAAGAUGAACUGGAAGCUAUUGAGCAAGUGGCCAUGCACCGGCGCGUGAAUGAGGAUGAAGAUGAUCAAGUCUUUUGUGAUGAAGAUACGAGCCCCGCUCUCGUUGUCUCCAAGGUCUUGACACUUCAACAUCAACAAGAAGAAGACCAACGAUGCCAUAUCUUCCACACCAAGGCCAGCAUCAAUGGAAGGUCCAUCAAAGUCAUCAUUGAUGGAGGUAGUUGCCACAACUUGGCAAGUGAAGAACUAUGCUCCAAGCUUCAAUUGGUCAAGAGGAAGCACCCGCACCCAUACAAGGUUCAAUGGCUAAGUGACUCCGUCACUAUACGAGUUGAGCAUAAGGUCCAAGUCUCCUUCAAAAUUUGUGCAUAUGAGGACACUUUGGAGUGUGAUGUGGUCCCAAUGACCGUUUGCCACCUCCUUCUUGGUCGACCAUGGCAAUUCGACCGUGGUGUCAUCCACAAUGGGCGUACCAACCAUUAUAACUUCAAGAUUAAAGGGAAGGAAUAUGUGCUACGACCUAUGUCUCCUAGUCAAGUGAUAGCCGACAAGCAAGCCACCCACCAUAUAGAGAAGAGUGAGAAAGUGAGCCACCAAAACAUGAGUGAGAGGAACAAGCCAAACUUGAGCGCCUCUUCGCCUAGAGAGAAAAACCUCAUACUAUUCGCCACAAAAAGUGAGAUGAGAGAAGUGUGUGAGAACCCAUCGAGUGUGAUGCACUUUGUCCUUGUGUGCAAGGAUGGAGAACCAAAAACUAACACCAAUCACGAGCUACCUUUGGUGUUUCAAUCUCUUUUGCAGGAAUUUCAAGAUGUUUUCCCCGAUGAGCUACCUCCGGGUCUACCUCCUCUAUGAGGCAUUGAGAUUCGACCUCAUCCCCGGAGCGCCACUUCUAAACAAAGCUCCAUACCGUGUCAAUCCCGAAGAAACCAAGGAGAUUCAACGGCAAGUACAACAACUAAUCGACAUCGGUCAUGUACGUGAAAGCUUAAGCCCUUGUGCCGUUCCCGUUAUACUUGUGCCUAAGCCCGAUGGAAGCUUCCGCUUGUGCUCAGAUUGUAGACCUAUAAAUGCUAUCACCGUUCGCUAUAUAUGCUUGAUGAACUUAGUGGAGCCAACUUUUUCUCAAAAAUUGAUCUUAAAAGUGGCUAUUAUCAAAUCUGCAUACAAGAAGGUGAUGAAUGGAAAACUGCUUUCAAAACAAAAUUUUGCUUAUAUGAAUGGUUAGUAAUGCCUAUGGGUUUAUCGGAGGCUCCCGGUACUUUCGUGCAUCUUAUGCAUCAUGUACUUUGCCCUUAUAUUGGAGUCUUUGUUGUGGUUUACUUCGAUGAUAUUCUUGUAUUUAGCAAAACCAUGAAAGAGCAUCUUGAUCAUGUUAGGGUUGUUUUGCAAACACUUCGCAAGGAAAGUCUUUAUGCCAACAUGAAAAAGUCCACAUUUGGUGUUGACAAAGUGGUUUUGUUGGGUUUCGUUGUCUCUUCCAAGGGUGUCCAUGUUGAUGAAACUAAAAUUGAAGCAAUUAAAGCUUGGCCCCAAUCCACCAAUUUGCAACAAGUGCGUAGUUUUCUUGGUCUUGCGGGUUUUUAUCGUCGCUCUGUGAAAAACUUUAGCACUAUUGCCGCCCCUUUGCAUGCUUUGAGUAAGAAGAAUGCUCCUUUUGUUUGGGGAUCUUUACAAUCCAACGCUUUUGAUGAGCUCAAGUCUUUGCUUACUCAUGCCCCGAUUCUUGCUUUGCCCAACUUUGACAAAACUUUUGAGGUUCAUUGUGAUGCAAGUGGUACCGGAAUUGGCGGAGUUUUGAUGCAAGAAAAACGAGCAAUUGCAUAUUUUAGUGAAAAACUCUCCGGUGCUCAACUUAACUAUCCCAUCUAUGACAAAGAAUUGUAUGCUUUAGUGCGUGUGCUACAUAUUUGGGAACAUUAUCUUAGACCUCAUGAGUUUGUCAUCCAUACCGAUCAUGAAACUCUUAAGUACUUAAAAGGUCAAACUAAGUUGAACAAGCGUCAUGCCAAAUGGAGUGAAUUUAUUGAAUCUUUUCCAUAUGUGAUCAAGUACAUUAAGGGUAAGGAAAAUGUAGUUGCCGAUGCACUUUCACGCAUAUGCACGCUUGUCACUAAACUUGAGUGGAAUGUUAUUGGCUUUGAGCACAUAAAAGACUUGUAUGCUAAUGAUCCAUCUUUUGCAACUCAUUAUGCUAAAUGUUUGACGCAUACAUCUUGGGAACAAUAUUACAUCAAGAAUGGUUAUCUUAUGAGAGCUAACAAACUAUGCAUUCCUGAGUCUUCUCUUCGUUUGCUCCUUUUGCAAGAGGCUCAUGGAGGCGGACUCAUGGGACACUUUGGACGCGACAAGACUUUCGCCACGCUCUCCAAAAACUACUUUUGGCCCAAGAUGUUCCACGACGUCUCACGCUUCACCACCCGAUGCUCUACAUGCCACAAAGCUAAGUCUAAAGCUCAAUCCCAUGGUCUUUACAUGCCUCUUCCUAUUCCUUAUCAACAUUGGGAAGAUAUUAGCAUGGAUUUUGUACUUGGUUUGCCUAGAACUCAAAGUGGAAAGGAUUCCGUAUUUGUUGUUGUGGACCGAUUUUCUAAGAUGGCACAUUUCAUUCCUUGCAACAAGAUAGACGAUGCUUCACAUGUUGCCAACCUCUUUUGUAGGGAAAUCUUGCACCUCCAUGGAGUACCAAAGACAAUCAUCUCCGACCUCGACGUCAAGUUCUUGAGUUACUUUUGGAAGACGCUAUGCGCCAAGCUCGGAAUCAAGCUCUUGUUCUCAUCCGCAUACCAUCCUCAAACCGACGGCCAAACGGAGGUGACGAACCGGACACUAUCCACUCUACUUCGUGUGUUGAUCAAGAAGAAUAUCAAGGAGUGGGAGGCGUGUCUACCCAUCGCCGAGUACGCCUACAACCAUGCAAGACAUUCGACUACCGGCAAGUCCCCCUUCAAGGUCGUCUACGGCUUCAACCCAUUGUCCCCAUUGGAUAUUCUACCUCUUCCUCUACAAGAGUGCACCAACAUGGAUGCGAGUGCACGAGCAAGCUACAUCAAGAAGAUGCAUGAAGAUACAAGGAACAUCAUUGAGCGCCAAGUACAUCGACUAGAGACCAAGCUCAACGUCAACAAGCAACUCAUGAUCUUCAACAUAGGUGAUCUCGUGUGGCUACACCUUCGGAAGGACCGCUUCCCCAACGAAUGCAAGUCCAAACUACUACCUCGAGCCGAUGGACCAUUCAAGGUGCUAGCACACUACAACGACAAUGCCUAUAAGAUUUAACUCCCACGAUACAAGUACAAUGUGAGCGACAUCUUCAACAUGACCUCUCGCCUUUCCAUGGUGAUGAAGAUUUUGAUCCGAGGUCGGAUCUUUCCCAAGGGAGGGGAGAUGAUGUGGAGCAUCCUUCCAUCAUCCCCAUGGACUCUACAUCGACACAUCCAACCCCACAAGGACCCAUGACAAGAGCUAGAGCACGUGCUUUGGAAACCGAGGUGAACUCCUUCGUACCAGACUUACAUAUGGACACAAAUAGAACAUGUCUACUACCUCACCAAAAUAUGCUAUGCCUCCUUAGGUAUGAAGUGGAACAUCACGAAGAAGCUCAGGAGCAUCCCCAAGGAGAAGGAGGACCACCCCAAGGCCGUACGAAUCAAGACGGAGUGCAACAGCAGCAACACAUGAAGUCCCAGGUGACCCCGUGCGCACGGGCCCCAGAGACCCCGUGCCCACGGGCUACACAGGAAACAGGCGCUGGAGCACCCCGUGCGCACGGGCCUGUACGGUGCCCACGGGACCCCCGUGCGCACGGGCCUAACUUACCCUGUGCACACGGGCCUCCUAGGAUGGCCGGCUGAGAUUGCAUCUUUAGCUCCACUUCUUCCCCUUCGACCCCAAGGCUAUAUAUUCCGUACCUAGGACCAUGUUUAGGGUUAGCAACGUAUUAGAUCAGAUCUUGGUGAGCUUUGCUCCAUUACCUUCCCUCUUUGAGGAUCAAGACCCCAUAGGGAAGAAUCCUUGAGGAUUUCAAGACCUCCAUUGGGAGAAGACUACCUUCAAGACCCCUCUUCCUUUGGAUUUGGGAUGAACUUUGACAUUUUAUAUUUCCUUUGAUUGAGUUUGUGACUUGUGGAUCUUGUAUUGUUACCCUAGUGGAUGUGUAAUCGGGAAUUUUUGGAGUGAUUACCUCUUGUGUUCAUCUUUGUGUUCUUGUUGUUCUUGUGGUUUCUCUCCUUUUCCCCCUCCAAGUGUGAAAAGGUCCUUCCUAGGGUUCUACCCUACAUCACUCUCCUUUUGAUACUUGCAUGUGUUGAUUUAAUGCACCUUGAAGUAGUAUAAAAUAUGUGACGGUAAAGCUUUGUAAUUCCCCGGCCCAAGUAGAGAUGGUUGUGCACGAGGAGGGCGAGAUCAUGCAGACCGAACAGGACCCGACGAUGGAGCUCUCUAAGGUCUCGAUGGACCUCACCGUGCUCCACUGCCCCUUGUGCCUCCGCCCCUUGACGCCUCUAGUGUAUGAGGUUCGAAUACACCUCGUCUGUUUGGCUGAUUGAGCAAGGCGCAGGUUUCUUGAUUGAUGUGCUGUUCGAUUGAUUUCUGCAGUGCAAGGGAGGGCACCUAGCCUGCGCGGACUGCCGCGUUGAGCGCCCCGGGAACCAGCGGCAGUGCUAGAAGUGCGAGCGCGACGGUGGCUUCGACGUGCGGAACACGGCGGUGGACUUCGUCCUUUCGUCGCUGAGGGUGGAGUGCCCGCACGAAGGCUGUGGGCUCUACGUCACUUACAACAAGCUCGCCGAUCAUCAGAGCAUGUGUCCGCUCACGCCCUGCAAUUGUCCCGUGCCCGUCUGCGGCUACAAAGGCCCGCCGCCGGCGCUGUACCACCACAUCAGCACCACGCAUCCCAUGCCCGUGCACAUGAUCUAGUAUGGCAAGGUGCUCCAGCUGCAAGUGCCACUGUCGGAGCCACGGCUCUUGCUGUUCGCGGAGGAGGACGGCCGCACAUUUUUCUUGGUCGGCGGCAUGCUCGACAUCGGCGCGCCUAUCGCCGUGUUGGUCGUCUGCAUCAGAGCAGGGGCGUCCCCGCUGCCGCACUACGUGGCCAAGCUGUGGGCGAACGACCCACCAGGGGAGCCCAAAGGCACGACCGAUGCCGUCAAGGUGGAAAUGGAGGUGACAAGCAGCAAGGAUCCCGAGGACGUCGACAUGCAGGAGCUGACCUUCUUCACAGUUCCGACCAAGCUGCUGGCCGGGGCUAAGCUGGUGUCCCUCCACAUUCAGAUUGACAAGCUCACGUCCUAAAUGUUUCUACAAUGCCUUCUGUUUAUCUUAGUAAUAUGCUAAUAUAGGGAUUACCUUGGUCAACUUUAGCUUAAGAAAUGGUGGAUUUUGGUGGUGAUGCAGCAAUUACUUCGACAUCAGAUCAGUAAUUUCCAACAGUCGAACGGAUAUUUUGUGUCUGUUGGAUAUAAAGUUCCUUUGGGUAAGAAGUACUACUUGUCAUCAAAAUGGAUAAAUGAGAUGUAUGUAGACGUAUUUUAGUUAUAGAUACGUCCCUUUUUAUCCAUUUUGAUGACAAGCACUCCCUCCGUUCCACAAUACAUGCCUUCCAUUUGUCAAAAUAUAGAUGUAUCUAGACAUGUUUUGAUGAGGACAUCAAUACCAUUGUUACACCCACAGCCCCUACUGGACCAAUUACUAGAGCUCGCGCAUGCCAAUUAAAUUACCAGGUACUUUCGUUUCUUGGUAAUGAUUCUAAUGUUCAUGAGAAUAUGAUGCUGCCUAAAUUGGAUACAUUUGUUUUGCUUACAAAUGAAGGGCCUAGCUUGGAGAAGGAUGAACAUUGGAGCAAGAACACGCAUGGAGUUGAUGGCAUGCGCAAGGGGAUCACGAACGGAGUUACAAGUGAUGAUUUCAGGACUUUGAAGCCACCAUAAGGAGUGCAUGAAGCCUUGGACGAAAUAUACAAGAUGCCACUUCAUAAAUUUCGUCUAGAGGCAAUUCUAGGUGCUGCAUCACCUUAUUAUUGGGCCAGGCCCAUGUAUUUUCGAAAUACCUAAGUAUAGGCUGUUUUUAGAGUCCGUAUGUGUGGGGAAACAAGAGUUAGGGUUGGUUUUGGACCCCUCCUCCAAGGGCCACGAAAUUCCCCCCUCUUCCUCCAUAUAUACAACCCUUAGUGCGUCGUUUAGACUUUGGGUUUUGUUUAGAUUAAAAGUUUGCCAUAGCUGCAACUUUGUGUACUUCAUUUGUGUUCAACGACCAGACAAAGGCGUCACAGAACCCCACCUUGAUCAAUAAAGCUUUCAUCUUAUAUUCGCAAUAUCGAGAUUGCAAUCACAGUUUCUUGCUUGUUCUUUGUUUGCUCGCAGGAAAAAGACCCUCGUGGUCAGGUUGAUCAUGCUCCGGCGUGGUCAAUAACCUCUCGGAGUUGGUUUAGCGAUUGCUAAGGCGCGACGUCCUCGCACGUUCGUAGUCAGAUCGUCAAAGUCGACUUCCACCAAAGCGAUAUCCAUCAUCUCAUUGAAAGAUGGGACACCUUUGCCUCUAUCAAGUGGUAUCAGGUUUCCAGGUUGCUCGGUGAGAUUUUACUCUUUUUCGUAGUUUAGAUCGAGUCUGUUCUUCAUACCUAUAGUCCACGAAAAGCCAAAAAAAAUUUGGGUUAGUUCAUCUUAUCCGAACCAAUCUGAGCCUUUGCAUAAUCUUUUUGGUAUUUGCUUUGUUGAAUUUGCGGUUGCAUCAUCGUGUCAAGUUGCUGGUCCUAGAGUCUAGUCCUUUAGAGUUUCGAGUUCUGCUCACAAGUUGUCAUGCCGCCGACGCACCAUCGUCAUCACCGCUGCCAUAUACCACCAUCAUCAUCACCACAGCCAUAUACCACCAUCAUCAUCACCGCUGCCUUAUACCACCAUCGUCAUCACCGCUGCCAUAUACCACAUAUCCACCGCCAUCACGCUAAUCCAAGUCCACCUCCAUCACAGAUUCACCACCAGUCCGUGUUCCCCCGCCCAACAUAUAUCCACCACCAGUCCGAGUUUCCCCCAGAUUCAUCUCCACCACCAGUCCUAGUCUGAGUCCAGUAAUUGUUACUUUGUUCUUGAUUUCCAGAUCACGCGGUAUUCUGAGUCAUGACAGAGUAGGACUCCCCAACUUUCGAGCCAUCCGCAGAAGAAAAAUAGUUCCAGUUUAAAAAAAAACUAUGUCUGGAAAAUUCUGGCUAGGCAGUUUUUAGGACAUUGUAGACUUUUUCGGAAAAAAAUUGUUGCGGAGGAAAAAAAAA